rnacentral:rRNA from 1 species
CCCUUAGAUGUCCUGGGCCGCACGCGCGCUACACUGAGUGUCUGAGAUACGAGUCUGCCUGGUCCGGCAAGGUCUAGGUAAUCGCUAAAAGACACAUCAUGCUUGGGAUAGAUUAUUGCAAAUAUUAAUCUUGAACGAGGAAUUCCUAGUAAGCGCAAGUCAACAGCUUGCGUUGAUUACGUCCCUGCCCUUUGUACACACCGCCCGUCGCUACUACUGAUUGAAGUUUUCGGUGAAUUUACUGGAGAUCCCUUUUGAAGGUGGUUCGCCACUGGAAGAAGUAUUCAAAAGUAAAUGAAUCGAAUGCUUUAGAGGAAGGAGAAGUCGUAACA